rnacentral:rRNA from 1 species
AGCGAACGCUGGCGGCAGGCUUAACACAUGCAAGUUGAACGCCCCGCAAGGGGAGUGGCAGACGGGUGAGUAACACGUGGGAACGUACCCUUUGGUUCGGAAUAACUUGGGGAAACUCAAGCUAAUACCGGAUAAGCCCUUAUGGGGAAAGGUUUACUGCCGAAGGAUCGGCCCGCGUCUGAUUAGCUAGUUGGUGAGGUAAUAGCUCACCAAGGCGACGAUCAGUAGCUGGUCUGAGAGGAUGAUCAGCCACACUGGGACUGAGACACGGCCCAGACUCCUACGGGAGGCAGCAGUGGGGAAUAUUGGACAAUGGGGGCAACCCUGAUCCAGCCAUGCCGCGUGAGUGAUGAAGGCCUUAGGGUUGUAAAGCUCUUUUACCCGGGACGAUAAUGACUGUACCGGGAGAAUAAGCCCCGGCUAACUUCGUGCCAGCAGCCGCCGUAA